AAGACUAUAGACCUGCGGAGUACCUGCGGAAGGAUCAUUAAAGAGUUUAACUACUCAAACCAUUGUGAACCUUACCUCAACCGUUGCUUCGGCGGGCGGGCCCGGGCCAAGCCCGGCGCCCCCCCGGCCCCUCGCGGGCGCCCGCCGGAGGUUAACCGAACCCUUGAAUUGUAUGGCCUCUCUGAGUCUUCUGUACUGAAUAAGUCAAAACUUUCAACAACGGAUCUCUAGAUCGGAAGA
rnacentral:misc_RNA from 1 species